rnacentral:SRP_RNA from 1 species
GCCAGGCAUAGUGGUGCCUGCCUAUAGUCCCAGUUACUCGGGAGUCUGAGGCAGGAGGAUUGCUUGAGCUCAGGAGUUCUGGGCUAUAGUGUGCUGUGCCAAUUAGGUGUCUGCACUGUUUAGCAUUAAUAAGGUGACUUCCAGGGAGUGGUGGGCAACCAGAUUGCCUAGGAAGAGGUGAACCAGAGCAAGUCAAAACUCCUGUCCUGAUCAAUAGUGGGAUCUCGCCUGUGAAUAACCACUGCAAUCCAGCCUAGGCAUCAUAGCAAAGACCUGAUCCCU